rnacentral:tRNA from 1 species
AGUGUCAAGGGAUGGGAAUCGAACCCACGACCUUCCGCUUACCGGGCAGAUGCCAUGACCACUAGGCCAAAUGACC